rnacentral:lncRNA from 1 species
UUUUCAUAAUGCUUAUUCACACAAGUUUCCCAAUAAUGUUUGCAUAAAAUAAAAAUGAAAACCACAAAUUGAGAAAUUGGUGGACUCAAAAGCAUAGAGAAGCAUAUAAUAUUUGAUUGAAACUAAAACUUCUUUGUCUCAAGCAUCAAAAGUUUACUAGAAAUGCAUUAAUAAAGUAAAACACUGGGAGAGAUAUAUCACAGAAUUUCUCUCCCUACCUAAUGGCAAUUUAUCUUUUCUUUCCUUAACUAUCUACAACAACAUUUGUCUGUGUUGCUUAUAUUACACAGUGUAAUGUUGUUGCAUAGUCUCUAUGUCCAGUCCUUUCAGCUUCACAACAGAUUCAACAUGUCCUUUAAGGGUAUGAAGUUCACGAAGCCUCAACUUCAGCGCGUCGCUUAGCCUGCUCAGCAAUCUCAGACAAUUCUCUAUAAGUGUUCUUGUCAUU